AGAGUUUGAUCCUGGCUCAGAGUGAACGCUGGCGGCGUGGAUUAGGCAUGCAAGUCGAGCGAUCUUAAAGUUGAAUUUGCGUUGAACCGCAAGGGGAUAUGCAGAGGAUGCUUUUUGAUAGCGGCAAACGGGUGAGUAACACGUGAGUAAUCUGCCCUUAAGUUAAGCAUAGCUUCGUGAAAACGGAGAUAAUUCUUAAUAGUAUCCCAUUUUUGCAUGAAGAAGGGAUUAAAGACAGGGACCGCAAGGCCUGUCGCUUAAGGAUGAGCUCGCGUCCUAUCAGCUUGUUGGUGGGGUAAUGGCCUACCAAGGCAUUUGACGGGUAGCUGGUCUGAGAGGAUGGUCAGCCACACUGGGACUGAGACACUGCCCAGACUCCUACGGGAGGCUGCAGUCGAGAAUCUUUAGCAAUGGGGGAAACCCUGACAAUGCGACGCCGCGUGGGUGAUGAAGGUCUUCGGAUUGUAAAGCCCUGUCAGCUCGGAUGAAAUUUUCGGAAUUAAUAACUCCGAAAAUUGACGGUACGAGCGGAGGAAGCCACGGCUAACUCCGUGCCAGCAGCCGCGGUAAUACGGAGGUGGCAAGCGUUGUUCGGAAUUACUGGGCGUAAAGGGAGCGCAGGCGGACGGGUCAGUCUGAAGUGGAAAUCCGGGGCUUAACCUCGGACUUGCUUCGGAUACUGCCCGUCUUGAGUUCGUGAGAGGAAGAUGGAAUUCAGGGUGUAGCGGUGAAAUGCUCAGAUAUCCUGAGGAACACCAGUGGCGAAAGCGGUCUUCUGGCACGAAACUGACGCUGAGGCACGAAAGCGUGGGUAGCAAACAGGAUUAGAUACCCUGGUAGUCCACGCUGUAAACG
rnacentral:rRNA from 1 species